UACGUAGGCAGCAAGCGUUGUUCGGAAUUACUGGGCGUAAAGAGUGUGUAGGCGGUGUUCUAAGUUUGUCGUGAAAUCUCCCGGCUUAACUGGGAGGGUGCGGCGAAAACUGGAAUGCUAGAGGAUGGGAGAGGUAAGCGGAAUUCCUGGUGUAGCGGUGAAAUGCGUAGAUAUCAGGAGGAACACCUGUGGUGUAGACAGCUUACUGGACCAUUUCUGACGCUGAGACACGAAAGCGUGGGUAGCAAGCAGG
rnacentral:rRNA from 1 species